AUGUGGACAAUUUCAGUGGAUGAGUGGAAAACAGCUCUGACAGCCAUUCUGAAGCAGCUAGAAAACCCACAGUGUGACAAAAUGUUGAAAAUUCUGAAAAUCCCCAAACAAAGGAAGACUGCUAAGUUCAGAAAAUGGCUGCCCCAAAAAAUCAUUGAGUACCACGGACUGGAAAGAUCUAUCUGGAAAAUCAGAGAUGCAACGGAUCAGAUUCCAAGGAGGGAUCAACCAGUCCAGAAACUGCUGCUCCCCUUCGUUGAACAACUGAAGAAUGGACCAAAAACUGAGGGGAAGAAGAGGAAACGUGGUGAAGGUGAUUCAAAAUCAGCCGACAAGGAGCCUGAAGUCGGUCAGUGGAAAAGCUUCCAGCCUGACAAGGCUGCACUUGGUGGACCAUUGAAGCCCAAAAAGAAUAAGACUGGUUUCAGCGAUCCAGCUCCAGAGGUUCAGAGUGCACCCGUCCAGACCGGGAGAAUUGAAAUCAAAUCCGUCUCAGCCAUCAAUAAAAACACUGCUCGGGUUAAGGUGGAGGUGAAGAAGCAGCAGGAGUUCUAUGUGUCAACUCAAAAACUGGCAGAGCUCCUCGGUUAUAACAUGGAGGACGGGGUUGAAGGCAGAAUCAGUCGUGCCAUGCCAAUCUCAGCAGAGGCUAAAAUGCGAGAGGAUCAGAUUGUAGAGAUUAAAAAAGUAUUUUAAGAAGAACUCGUUUGUACAUUUUUCCUGUCUGAAACAAUAAAGCUCAGUUUUUCUGGUCAUGGUUUAAUUUGAAGGUUGGUUUGUGGGGUCAUUCUUCAGAGGCGCCAUCACCUGACCAACCACACGUAAGCUCAGGACAGAAACCGUGCGUCCUAGGGUCAGGGACCAAUAAAGAACGAGCUCUGUGGUGAGUUCAGGUUCCACGGAGGACGUCAGUCUGACGGGGACACUCGUGACGAGGACGAACAGGCUUAAUAUUCUCAGCGAGGUCACGUUGGAGCUCUGACAGGCAUUAAACCCACAGCUCUGGUUCUGCUGUGGCUUUAAUGUCUCACCUGUGCAGGUGAAACAGCUUCACUCAUGACCCAGUGUGUCUGCUGGGGUUUGUUUUUUUUAAGCUAGGUUUGUUACAACGUUUAUUCACAGCUACCUUUAGUUGAUCCCGAGUUCAAAAAACAAUGAAACAACCUGUUUAUUUCUACUUGACUUUAUUAAAAAUAUCAAACAUGAGGAAAACAAGCAGGCACACACACACACACACACUCUGCAGCAUCGCUGAGUGAACGACAGUUUCAGACAAACAGUCCAACCAAUCUCACUUUGAAAAACAAAAACCCCAAAACAACAUCGUUGGCGUUCAUCUACAACAGGAAAAAAAAAAAAAAAAAAAAAAAAAAAUGAGUAAGCAAAGAGUUUCACUUCCAAAGACUUUGCAUCCAAUCUGAUAAUAAUCGAGGGAUAAAAACGACCUGAUAUUCACGUUUGAUUUCCAAAAAUAUACAAUAUUUAUAUAAUUACAGUGAAAUCUCGGGCCGGCGGCUCGCUUUGGGAGGAAACUCUUUACUUUAAAACUGCGACACUAACGAUCUGAGUUACAUCCACACAGAAACACACCUACAAAAAUAGAGCAACAUUUUACACAUCCACCGCCGCCUGCUCUGUGAUCACAGACGCUUCUAAACCCACCGAGGGGGGAAACACCACGUCGACCCGCUCACUGAAGGUCAGAGGUCAAACGAGUCAAGUCCAACACAAAGAGGAGGAGACUGCUCGGGGAGCGUUUCUGGAAGUCAAAGAUUGAGCUUCGUUUACUCCAAACUGCUCGCGUUUCUUCCCCCAGUUUCCUGUUUAUUAAUAUUUACUCAUCUGCUUUAAGUCUGGCAGGUUUGAGUCUGAUCAAAUGAUCCUGAUGUUUCAGGAGAAACUAAUGAAAGCAUGAAAAAGAACAAAGACCCUGAACGAUUAAACUGAAGGUGGUUUAAUGGGAAAAAUCAUCUCCAGCCUCAGCCUGAGGUUCCUGCAGAGGAACGUCAGCGUGGUGGAGCGGACUCUGGUGGAGGGAUUCAAACCUGCAGCAGCCCGUCAUCACGUUUGAGCUCGAGGUCGUUUUAUUUUAUUGAACAUAAAGUGAGGAAGAAUAAAUUCUGAUGAUCACUCAGGAAGUAUUUGAACCUUUUCUCUCACUGGUUUCUGUGAUGUCACUGCAAAUCUCGUGUCACUUCCUGUUUGGUUUAAAAUCUGAGCACAAGCUGAAAGACUGACAGACGUCGGGUUAAAGGUCACACACUGCUCGCCUCAUCUUUUAUGGCGUCAGUUUCGAGACGUUUGAGCAGCCGAAGCUUCUCGUCCCGCUCUGCGCUCUCACUGGCUGACGAUGAGCUGUCGCAGGUAUGACUGCGUGAGGCCUCGCAGCUCCUCCAGCGUGUAGUCCUCGGGCAUCGGCAGGCGGCUAAUGUGCGGCGCCAGCUGGGCGAGCGGGAUGCUGAGGGAGUCAGCCGUAUCGCCCUGCUGCAGGCUCAGCACCGCACGCAGGAUGUUCGCCACGCGCUUCGCCAUUUCUGCAGAAAGGGAGGGAAGCAGGGGGCGGGGCUUUGUUAGAUCACCUGAUGUAGCUGCGGAAGCUGUUCAGACUUUAAACUGCUCGUUUCUGUUAGAGAGGUAGAGGGGGGUGUGUGUGUGUGUGUUUGUGUGUCAGCUACUGCAAGCCUGGACAGUUUCAGUCACACACUCCUCCGUCUCACAUCAGCCAAUCAGGACAAAGAUGCAGUCGUUCUCUUACCCGAUUGGGCGAGGCGGUCUUUAGCGGUGUGGCAGGGCAGGAGCUCGAUCCUGCUGCAGAGAGACGUCACGUCGGUGUAGAGACGCUCCAGCUCGUAGCCGGCGUUUUCCAUCUGAGAGCGAGGACGGAAACACGGAGAUCAAACUCGGCGUGAGGACAAAACAGUUACUCAAACAUGUGAAGACUUUACAGCAUUUUACAACAUUUCACUGCAUUUUACAGCCCAGAUUUACUCCACAGAUUCUGUAAACACUGUUGGAUGAAACCACAGCGCGCUGCGUGAAGCAGUUAGAGACUCGAUGCUCUUUGUGUUCAUCACUCUAAUGCAGACGACCAGAAAUGAGCUUGAGCUGCGAUCACGUCACCGCCUCGUGUGAACGCCGCAGACGUCAGAGAUGUGAGGAAAAUAAAAACCUGAGCUGAAAACGUGUUUCUACGACUUUAGAAUUAUAAUAACUGCACUCUGCUGCAUCACUACUUUUAUACUUACAGUAACUUUGCUGCUAAUACUUCAAUAAGUAUCAUAAUGAAGUACUUCUACUUUCAAAGAACAGUCGCCCUCAUCGAGCUCAGAAACAGAAACACUCAGAGGAUGUUUGGGUACCUGCUGGAUGUCCUGCAGAGUCUUUAUGACUCUGAUGUAGUCGAGGUAAACCCUCCCUGCUGUGUCCCAGUCCUGGAUGGUGGCGCAGUGCUCGGGGAGCGCCAGACCCUCCAGGAACUCCAGGAGGUAGUCGUGGUUAUCGUUGAUGAUGCAGUCUGAGAGAGAGCGAGAGAGAGAGAGAGAGAGAGAGAGAGAGAGAGAGAGAGAGAGAGAGAGAGAGAGCGAACGCGAGCUCAGUUUCAACCGUUUCCAGACUAAACUGAUCUCCUGACACAUGAAACCAUAACAUGAUGUGUGGACUCGAGCGCCUGAGCUUUUUAGACUUUGAUGAAUUAAAAAGAUGAAAAAAUGCAGCACUUGUUGGCUCAUCGUGUCGUUUAACCAACCCGACCUUUAAUUCUCUCUAAUGUAACCAUGUAAUGAUGUAAUGAUGCUAAUUAUUCAGAUCAGAGGAGUCUGAAGUUUUUGACUCUUCUGCAGGACGUGGUUCAGACUGCGUGUGCAAACAGGCGCGUCU
rnacentral:lncRNA from 1 species